rnacentral:rRNA from 1 species
UAGGGAAUCUUCGGCAAUGGACGGAAGUCUGACCGAGCAACGCCGCGUGAGUGAAGAAGGUUUUCGGAUCGUAAAGCUCUGUUGUUAGAGAAGAACGUUGGUAGGAGUGGAAAAUCUACCAAGUGACGGUAACUAACCAGAAAGGGACGGCUAACUACGUGCCAGCAGCCGCGGUAAUACGUAGGUCCCGAGCGUUGUCCGGAUUUAUUGGGCGUAAAGCGAGCGCAGGCGGUUCUUUACGUCUGAAGUUAAAGGCAGUGGCUUAACCAUUGUACGCUUUGGAAACUGGAGGACUUGAGUGCAGAAGGGGGGUGUGGAAUUCCAUGUGUAGCGGUGAGAUGCGUAGAUAUAUGGAGGAACACCGGUGGCGAAAGCGGCUCUCUGGUCUGUAACUGACGCUGAGGCUCGAAAUCGUGGGGAGCAAACAGG